GAUGACUAGUGCUUUACCCAUUUCAUUACAUCUUUAUAUAUUGCAAAUAAAAUGUAAAAACAAUCACAAAUAAUAUUUUAUAUUAAUUUCAAACAACGGCAUUAGCAUGAGAGCAACUUACCAGUCCAAAACAAUGUCCUCUCCGUUCAAAAAAUGCCUGUUUCAGAGUCUUCAAAAUGGAGUCUUCAAAAAGCAGAUCUGUCUCACUUUCACGAUGAAUUUCCUCUAAAAUUGUUUCUACAUUCGUAUAUCUAGUCUUAGAAUUAGCUUUCAUUGACUUAUUUGCCAUGAUGUUGGAUAAAUAAACAGCUGAAGAUGCAAGUCACCGAAAUACUGCUGUGCGUAAUAAGCUUUGCACCUUCACGGUUGAAUUGGCAAUGGCGAAAGAACGGUCCUUAUGCCAGUGUUCAAUGGAAAGAUUUGUCUUACAACAAAGAAUCAUGGGAUAUUGCCGUUUACCUCUGCUCAUUGGCUAUCUACCCAGCUAGAUUUCAAGACGAUCAGUGGUCAUUGGGUUAAAAGACAGUCAAUCAACGAGACAGUGGUCAUAUAAUUGGUGCACAAUGGGCUUGUCACUUGUUGUCUUCCAAUCGGUUUUUCCGGGUCAAUACGUUCCGCAAAAUGACCCAUCAGGUUUGGUUGUGUUACAAAUAAACGUUGAUUGCAAGGUAACCAAACAUGACUGGAUAAAGGCAGGGAAAGUCUGUCUAUUUUACGUUGGAUGUUACGUCGAAAAUUGAAUGACAUGAAAUUGAAUGACACGAAAUUCAACAAGAUAAGCGUUCAUAAGCGUUCAUUAUAAUGUUGCCAUGAACGUCUUGCGAAGCAGGGUUACCUUAUGUUCCUACCAACUGUUCCCUGACCUGGUUGUUAUUGAAAGAGCCAUUAUAAAGAAAGACAAGAAUUGCUUCUUGGAAUUCCUUCUGGAUAAACAAAGGUUAUUUUAAUCCCCCAGUCCUUCGCAGUUUCACUCAAAGCUGGCACUGUGAGGCUUAUGGCUUCCCACAUGGCACCCUAUUCCUUGUGUCCCUACCAUAGGUCCCUGGUCAAAAGUAGUGCACUUCAUAGGGAUUAGGGUGCCAUUUGGGACAUAACCUAUGGGCUGAGUCGUCCAUUAAGCUAACUAACUAACACACAUUCACAGGCUCCCUGCUUUCCUCUGUACUUUAAUGUGGCAGGUAAUUGCCAGCUCCAUAAUGACCAUCUUACAGGCUGGGCCUGGAAAGGUUGCCUGCUGACUGGCUUUUGAUACACUGCAUUAAUGAAGUUUAUGACUCUUGAGCCCUGGGGAUCUGUCAAGCUCCCUUGUGCCAGGAAGAUAACUUUGAUUAGGUGUUAAAGUGACCUCGCUUUACCUGUAUGAUGAGAAUGUAUUGUAUACCAGAAAGCGCCUCUGCGCUAGAAGUGUCAGGGAAGGGGCAGCUGGGAAAUGCUUUUGCAGAAAUUUGAGCUUUGAAGAGUGGUUUUGUCAAAGACCUGUUAGCAGUAAUGAUCGAUUUUUUAUUUUUUUUUUGUUCUUCUCCACUGCGUUUUCUGUCUCUUUACUUUACUGGUGCGUAAUCUGUCUCAUCCGCCAUCUUUUUAGAGUACCCACUUUAGUACUCAGAUAAUUAAAACGUUUGUCAUUACAGAGCAACUGCCCCUAUAAAUCAACUAAUCCCUUUUGAAAAUGGCCUAUGUAGCAUCAAUAUGAGUCCGAAACAUUUAUUUUAGUUUUAGAAUUGACUACAAAGUGUAAUUAGGAUAAUUUGAGUAAUAAAGUCAGUCUUGUCUAAAAUGGAGUUUGGAACCUUAGUGUGUCACAUCGAGUAAAUUUAAGGUUGGGUUUGGAUUACAAUGUUAACAAAUCAUGACCUCUUUUGCCAAACUCCACAUGCAAAUCGCCCCUCAGCCCGCUUCGUUCUGUUCAUUAAGUGGGGCUCCGUUGUUUCAUCGCCCCCAAUACUUUCAAAGGAUCGCUGCCAUUUUAAACUGAAUAGCCCUGUACGGAUUGACCAUGCUUCCAGCAGGAUGCACAGCCAACUGGUUUGCAUGCCCUGCCGAUGGAACCUAAUCAUGCGGAAGUUGGUUGGAGUUCGUUUGUCCCCAGUGGUGGUGAGUAUACAGGUAGCUAGAUCAUGAAUUGCUGGUUGUGCAUCUGUAGAUUUUGAUAAUCAUUGUCAGCUAUGCAAGUGAUGAUAGUGACGAGUGAUGUUAGCCAGCUAGGUAACUAUCUAGAUCGUUAGCCUAGCGUUAGCCUAACUCGGUAGGUAACUAACUUUUGCUUUGAAACACAAAAAUAUUACAAAACAAGAACCUUUUUUUAAUGAUUGUGAUGUCGCCAGAUUGACUUUAGAUGCAGUAUAACUUUAGCCAGCUAACUUAAGUUUGAGGGGACCACCGUAUUUGACCUAUUUUUAGCAUUGCUAGCUAUUUUUUACAAACUUGCUAGUAACAGUAAUGGCAACAUUGCCAUCUCUAUAAUGAAUUUGACUACAUCAUAAUAUGGCAGUUUCCUAUUAAUUAUAUGUUAUCCUAUUUCCAUGCCACUAAGGGCUCUAUUCAAUCCGUAUCUUGGAAGUUAAGCUUUACAGCGUGAUUUAAAUUAGAAAGCAACGUUUCCGCUCUAGCUGAGACUGCGUUCACGGUAAACGCUUCUCAAUUCAGAAAUGACCUUUUACAUUUAUAUCGUGGAAAAUGUAAUGCUUCAUCUUUACAGAUUGAAUAGAGCCCUACAUUUUUGUGUAUUAAUACGAAAGUCACAUUAGCCUCUGAGGUGCAACCCCAUAUCCAGGGAACAAAUACAUAUUGGAUGCAGCUAUGGUGGUACUAGCUAACUCGUGUCUGACUACAACAAUGUACUAACUAGCAGCAACAAACUCAAGCCAUCCCAGGGCCAUAGCAAAACUUGUCAUAGCUUGUUUCAUAGUAUAAUGGCGUAACCGGCCUGAAUCUAAUUCAAUCUCGAGCCAGUCAGCCUACAUCUGUUAAGCAUAGAUUUAGCAUCCAAACAAGGUUACGUUAUUUCUCAAACUAUGUCUAUAAUUGAGGGUUGAUGACAGUCGUUGACCCUGUUUUUCUGUUAGACAAAGUGCAUAGUUGGGUGCCAGACUGAUCCCCUGGUCAUGAACGGAUGCCGGGACCUACCAGAAGAAGCCACGCUUGUCAGGCAAGACCUCCGACUAAGUGUCAUGCGACACAAUUACCCUUGUGACACCACCUCCGUUGUUGCCAGACUCUCCCUCGACUCCUGAAAAGGACACGCCAUCAUGAGGCCUUUGAUAGUGCCCCGAGUUACUGCCAUGAUGACAAACGGCUUCGACUACGACAGGUCCUCACAGUCAACACCACCCCAUAAGAUUGCCUGCUGCAGUUGUUUGAGAGAUGUCCAGUUUACAGCAAAACAUGCACCACAGAGAAGACCAGAAAGGGGAACCUCUUCAGCAUCAUCCAAACAUGCCCUCACCUGCAUUCUAUUUCACUUCACAUUUUAUCAUAUCUGAAGUGAAAUAGGAAGGUGAAUGCAAUGACCAGGUUGGUUCCACCAGGCUAAUCAUAACCACCAUUGAUAAUGUAAUCAGUGGUGUGUGUCUGACCGAGCAGUAUCUUCGAUGAGCCAGGAGCAGAUCUAUGCUACUUUGCCCAUCAAUUUGGCCUCUGUCAAAGACCUCACCUCCAGCCUCACCUCUUGCCUGCUCGCCUCCAGGUUGUCGAUAGGGAGAACAUAAUUAGGUAGGUUUAGUCGGACCUGUUCAAAAUUCAACAUAGGAUGCAGUGUCUUCGGAAAGUAUUCGGACCCCAUGACUCUUAUUCUGAAAUUGAUUAUAUAAAAAUAAUGCCUCAGCAAUCUACACACAAUACCCCAUAAUG